CUUAAACAAAUAGACAAAUCUUUUAAUAUUCAACACCCAAGAGAUCUUCCUGAUUUUACUGUAGUGGAGAUAAACGAUCUGAAAGUAAGAAGAGGGGAGUAUGAUACCUGUGAUUCUGAAGAGCUUCAUGUUUCUCCAGGCCGGUCAGAUCAGGUCAGGAACACACAACAGACACACACUGAUCAUAUAACAAUUACAAAUUACAAAUUACCAAGCAAAUAUUCAUAUUUAAAAGAGAAUAGAAGACUACACAAAUUCCUCAGUUUUCUGAUUCUCACUGUAUAUCUCACUGUAUAUCUCACUGUAUAUCUCAUUGUAUAUCUCACUGUAUAUCUCACUGUAUAUCUCACUGUAUAUCUCACUGUAUAUCUCACUGUAUAUCUCACUGUAUAUCUCACUGUAUAUCUCACUGUAUAUCUCACUGUA